rnacentral:rRNA from 1 species
GACGAACGCUGGAGGCGUGCUUAACACAUGCAAGUCGAACGAUGAAAUGGAGCUUGCUCCAUGGAUUAGUGGCGAACGGGUGAGUAACACGUGAAUAACCUGCCCUUAAUUUUGGAAUAACCCAGGGAAACCUGGGCUAAUACCGGAUAAGUAAACCUGUGGCAUCACAUGGUUUUGGAAAGUUUUUCGAUUAAGGAUGGAUUCGCGGCCUAUCAGCUUGUUGGUGAGGUAAUGGCUCACCAAGGCGACGACGGGUAGCCGGCCUGAGAGGGGGACCGGCCACACUGGGACUGAGACACGGCCCAGAGUCCUACGGGAGGCAGCAGUGGGGAAUAUUGCGCAAUGGACGAAAGUCUGACGCAGCGACGCCUCGUGAGGGACGAAGGUCUUCGGAUUGUAAACCUCUUUCAGCAGGGACGAAGCGAAAGUGACGGUACCUGCAGAAGAAGCACCGGCUAACUAUGUGCCAGCAGCCGCCGUAA